GGGAAGUAAGGCUUUGGAGGGAAUGAAAUUGGUGGGAAGUAAGGCUUGGGAGGGAAGGAAAUUGGGGGAAACUGGAAAGAGGGUUUGGGAGGGAAAGAAAUUGGGGGAAACUGGAAGGAAGGCUUUGGAGGGAAGGAAUAUGGUGGAAAAUUCCACGGCCACUUUGGAACUGGAGGGUAUUUGUGGUCGGGCCAAAAGAAUUCUGACGGGCAUGUGGUCGAGGAGAAGGGCACUUUGCCAGCAAUACUGAAUUUGUGCUUCCCAUUUUCCUUCGACUUCAGAAUGAUCUUGGAUGAGCUUGAAGCAUUCUCAUUAGCAGAGCAAGGAGCUCUCUUGGCACUUUGGAGCUCAACCAUGCAUUUAUCCUCCACCUUCCCAUCGUCUUGAGCAAGAUCACUCGGAAGUGGCACGUUGAAGUUCCCGUCCUUGUCGAGCCUGCCAACGCCCUUCGUCUUAUAUUCCCCCUUACUGUUCUUGCAUUUGACGGCUAAAUGAAGCCCUUUGAAUGCAAGUUCAUUCUUGAUGUUCUUCUCAGCACAGUCCCUGCAUUCUGCUGUGCCGACAAGAGUAACGGAGCCCUGAGUCUG
rnacentral:misc_RNA from 1 species